UACAGAGGUCUCGAGCGUUGUUCGGAUUCAUUGGGCGUAAAGGGUGCGUAGGUGGCGCUGUAAGUCGGGUGUGAAAUCCUGAGGCUUAACCUCGGAACUGCAUUCGAUACUGCGGCGCUUGAGGACUGGAGAGGAGACUGGAAUUCAUGGUGUAGCAGUGAAAUGCGUAGAGAUCAUGAGGAAGACCAGUGGCGAAGGCGGGUCUCUGGAACGUUACUGACGCUGAGACACGAAAGCGUGGGGAGCAAACAGG
rnacentral:rRNA from 1 species